CAACGCUCAAAAAUCACUGUACGACA
rnacentral:miRNA from 14 species